rnacentral:rRNA from 1 species
AGAGUUUGAUCCUGGCUCAGGAUGAACGCUAGCGGCAGGCUUAACACAUGCAAGUCGAGGGGUAACAGAGGUAGCUUGCUACUUGCUGACGACCGGCGCACGGGUGAGUAACGCGUAUGCAACCUACCUUUUACAGGGGGAUAGCCAGAAGAAAUUCUGAUUAAUACCCCAUAAUAUUAUAGAUCGGCAUUGAUUUAUGAUUAAAGUUUCGGCGGUAAGAGAUGGGCAUGCGUUUUAUUAGUUAGUUGGUAAGGUAACGGCUUACCAAGACUACGAUAAAUAGGGGUCCUGAGAGGGAGAUCCCCCACACUGGUACUGAGACACGGUCCAGACACCUACGGGUGGCAGCAGUAGGGAAUAUUGCGCAAUGAACGAAAGUUUGACGCAGCCAUGCCGCGUGGAUGAUGAAGGCCUUCGGGUCGUAAAGUCCUUUUCUGAGGGAAGAACAAGCAGGGGAGUGGAAAGCCCCUGCCCUGACGGUACCUCAGGAAUAAGCAACGCCUAACUCCGUGCCAGCAGCCGCGGUAAUACGGAGGUUGCAAGCGUUGUUCGGAUUUACUGGGCGUAAAGGGAGCGCAUGCGGCUAGGUCAGUCUGAAGUGAAAGUCCGGUGCUCAACCUCGGAAGGGCUUCCGAUACUACCUAGCUUGAGUACUUGAGAGGUGAGCGGAAUUCCCGGUGAAGCGGUGAAAUGCGUAGA